UUGUUCCAUGAGGUUGGGCUUGGCUAUCAAGAAACGACCGAGUAGGAAGAAAUAUCGGCCUCUCUCUCAGAUAUGGAAAAUCAGCGGCGCGUAGACCAUGAAGAUAAUUAUCAAACAAACUCAGAAGAAGACGACGAUAUUCGACCCAAAAAAAAACAAAGAAAAGACGACGAUAUGGAUAACUCCCCACGCGCCGAUAUGAUGGCUGACUUUUCAGUUGAGUCUUCGCCAUACCAAAAAGAUAAUGAAAACUCAGAGGAAGACUGUACAAGUGAAACAGAAGAAGACUACAGCAGCGA